ensembl:lncRNA
GCUAGUCAGUAUUGCAUUAUUGAUGAACUACCCAUUAGUACCUAUUAAUAUCUUAACAAUAACAUAGGGCACAUUGAAUUUCUUUCCCGUCGAUGCCUUUUAUUCAGUCAUCUAUCCUCUGGGUUAAUGCUGCUGUCAAACAGCACCUUUGUAUUUACAUGGUGAUAUAUUAGAUUUAUAACUUUGGAUUUAGAUUUUAUUAUGUUUUGUUUUAUGAUAUUUUAGUGAUUAUGGUUAUAUUCUAACACGGAGUGGAAAAAUGUCUUUAUUUUAUUAAGUUAUUUAUGUAAAAAUUAGACAGAGAACUUCUCUAUUGCACCACUGCAUUUUCCUUUUCAAAUAUAAACUUCAAUUUAAAAAGACUUUUCAUGUUUUAAUGGAUACCAUUUCUCAAAGAGUUUUACUGCAGAAAUGAAUAGUCCACAGUUCCACUGGCUCAGGAUGAAAUGUACCUGUUUUCCUAAAGGAUGGUACCAAUCUAACUCUUCGUCCCAUUGCUUCAGUUUGCAUGUUUUCCUCCAUCUGUUCUAGUAUCUGUAUCUCUGUUUUGAAAAAAGAUUUGUUUUGUUAAAUAUAAUUGCAAUUUUUGUGUGGUCCAUACUUAUAACAUAUGAAUAUUCCAAUUUAAAAUCCUGGUUUUCACCUUCGGGGCUCUGUAUGGUAAUCACCUGCCUGCUUCACAGGGUUAGGGUCUUGCAGCCUGUGCUUGUUAUCAUCUCAAAAUCCAGACUAAAAGCUAAAGUAAUGAAGUCUUCGCAGCUCUAAGGACUCGUGAAUGUGAAAACUUGUCUUGUUAAACCAGCAUUUUUGUAGCUUUUUACUUUGUUUCUGUCUUAUUUCAGUUGUUUUUUUUUUUUCCUUUUGAUGUCCUGGUGUUUUUUUUCUGACAUACAGCAUUUUGUGAUUUAUGUCUUGGAAAAUGCUCAAUGAAUAUAAUUUACUUACUUCCUUAGUUACAUGUAAAUACUGCAAUGUAAUACGUCAGCCUUUUUUUUAACUGUUUCCUUGCUUCGCUCCUUCCUUCUUUGAUAUGUUUUCUUUGCAGCAUGUAAGGAGUUUUAAAACAUCUCACAUUUUGCUUUUUGACUUAAUUAAUAAAAUACAAUUUCAACAAAGGAAUUGUUCUUUGUAACUUCUCCACAGCGUUAUUUCUGGCCGCAUUUUGGACCUUUUUUUUUUUUUUUAUCCUUUCUGUGUCUGGUAAUUAUUUAUCAGUAACUAAAUCACUGUAGCUCACGGCAAUUGAAAUGGCUUUUCAGCACAAGUGGCCAACUUUUUAAAAAAUCUCAUCAACACAAGAGGGUGUUUUUUUAGCAUAUUGUAACAAAUGCGUUCUCUUUUACUAAAAGAGCCUUUUUAGGCUUGCGUUGAGCCCUUUUAUUCUUGGAUUCUCUUAACUUUUCAGAACUAGAAAAAACAUCCUGGAUGCAGUGAAUGCGCAAUGAGAGCACACCUCAGUAUAGUCCACACGUCUUUCAGGCCAUGGGCUCUUUUGAAAAACAAAUUCCUCAACCUGGUGUGUCUACACACAUGCAAAUAAGGGCAGCCUGGGUGUUUUCCAUCACCUGUGUGAUCACCUUGUCAUUUACAUUCUUGGUUUGUUUCGGCCCAUCACAUUUGAGCCAGUGGUCAACAAGGUCAGCAGGCUAAAGCAUUCUAGAAAUACUUAUGAUGACAUCUAUAUGUAUGACUUGUAUGCAAGCAACAAAGUCAAAUGAGAAGAGGACUCCUCCAUAUAUAGCUCCUGGUCCGUCAUGCUGUUCUUUGAUGCAUUAGAAAGUGAGAAUGACCGCCCUGGGGUUGAUGGGUUUGAACACACAGCAAAAU